rnacentral:misc_RNA from 1 species
ACGUUGCAUCACAUUUUCAUCUUCAACUGGAAUACAUUACCCCCAAUCCAUGUGCAUUUCCCUGUUUCCUCAUUUUUCUUCAUUUGGAAUUUGAAUCCUAGAAAUUAAAAUCCCAAGUCUAUUCCGUGGAUUUAAAAUUAUCUUACAUUCAUUCACUUUUCCAAACCGAUGCUUUGAUUCAACUAGCAUAGUGCAUUUACGUAUAGAAAGAUAAGUCAUC